rnacentral:lncRNA from 7 species
ACCCUACGACAUCUACUACUCAAACAGUAUGUUCCAUUAUUCUCCUUGUUGGCCCCUACCUACCUAGUACUGUACACCACUUCAUCAUCGAACUGUCUGAUGAUUUUUUCAAAACUUUUCAUAUCUUCAAUAAUGAAUUAUCCGAGGACUAUUCAAGAAAUGUUUCAGCUGAUGCAGGUGCAACUGCGUGCGUCACUCAGACUCAACUGCGGCUGCCACGGCCAGUGCUCCGUGCUGCAGAGGCGACCGGAGCGCCUCCUUCGGCGUGGACGCCUCGCA